rnacentral:rRNA from 1 species
GAUGAACGCUAGCUACAGGCUUAACACAUGCAAGUCGAGGGGAAACGACAUCGAAAGCUUGCUUUUGGUGGGCGUCGACCGGCGCACGGGUGAGUAACGCGUAUCCAACCUGCCCACCACUUGGGGAUAACCUUGCGAAAGUAAGACUAAUACCCGAUGAUAUCUCUAGACGACAUCUGAAAGGGAUUAAAGAUUUAUCGGUGAUGGAUGGGGAUGCGUCUGAUUAGCUUGUUGGCGGGGUAACGGCCCACCAAGGCAACGAUCAGUAGGGGUUCUGAGAGGAAGGUCCCCCACAUUGGAACUGAAACACGGUCCAAACUCCUACGGGAGGCAGCAGUGAGGAAUAUUGGUCAAUGGGCGAGAGCCUGAACCAGCCAAGUAGCGUGCAGGAUGACGGCCCUAUGGGUUGUAAACUGCUUUUAUAAGGGAAUAAAGUGGGUCACGUGUGACUUUUUGCAUGUACCUUAUGAAUAAGGACCGGCUAAUUCCGUG